GGUUGAUCCUGCCAGUAACAUAUGCUUGUCUCAAAGAUUAAGCCAUGCAUGUUUAAGUGUGAACUCAUUUUCGCAUAGCUGAACUGCGUACAGCUCAUUAAAUCAGUUAUAAUUUCUUUGAGGGUUGUUAAUUUCAUCGAUUACUAUACGGAUACCCGUAGUAAUUCUAGAGCUAAUACGUGCGUAGGGGUGUGUAUUGAUCUUCCCGGUCGAUACACACUGUGCUGAUUAGAUUCAUGUUAUGUUGUCGCAUGGUUAAUGAGACGACCCAUGAUCAUCGUUCUGACGCUGGG
rnacentral:rRNA from 1 species